rnacentral:rRNA from 1 species
GACGAACGCUGGCGGCGUGCUUAACACAUGCAAGUCGAACGGUGAUGCUCCAGCUUGCUGGAGUGGAUCAGUGGCGAACGGGUGAGUAACACGUGAGCAACCUGCCCCAGACUCUGGAAUAAGCGCUGGAAACGGCGUCUAAUACUGGAUACGAAACUGGCCCGCAUGGGCAUGGUUUGGAAAGUUUUUCGGUUUGGGAUGGGCUCGCGGCCUAUCAGCUUGUUGGUGAGGUAAUGGCUCACCAAGGCGACGACGGGUAGCCGGCCUGAGAGGGCGACCGGCCACCAGGGGCAUGGGGAAGGGCCCGAGCCCCCACGGGGGGCAGGGGGGGGGAAUUUUGCAAAAGGGGCGAAAGCCUUGAGGAGGGACGCCGGGGGGGGGAUGACGGCCUUGGGGUUGUAAACCUCUUUCGGCAGGGAAGAAGCGAAAUGGAGGGAACCUGAAAAAAAAGCCCCGGUAAACUCCUG